rnacentral:rRNA from 1 species
GGGUUGUGAGGUUAAGCGACUAAGCGUACACGGUGGAUGCCCUGGCAGUCAGAGGCGAUGAAGGACGUGCUAAUCUGCGAUAAGCGUCGGUAAGGUGAUAUGAACCGUUAUAACCGGCGAUUUCCGAAUGGGGAAACCCAGUGUGUUUCGACACACUAUCAUUAACUGAAUCCAUAGGUUAAUGAGGCGAACCGGGGGAACUGAAACAUCUAAGUACCCCGAGGAAAAGAAAUCAACCGAGAUUCCCCCAGUAGCGGCGAGCGAACGGGGAGGAGCCCAGAGCCUGAAUCAGUGUGUGUGUUAGUGGAAGCGUCUGGAAAGGCGCGCGAUACAGGGUGACAGCCCCGUACACAAAAAUGCACAUAUUGUGAGCUCGAUGAGUAGGGCGGGACACGUGGUAUCCUGUCUGAAUAUGGGGGGACCAUCCUCCAAGGCUAAAUACUCCUGACUGACCGAUAGUGAACCAGUACCGUGAGGGAAAGGCGAAAAGAACCCCGGCGAGGGGAGUGAAAAAGAACCUGAAACCGUGUACGUACAAGCAGUGGGAGCACGCUUAGGCGUGUGACUGCGUACCUUUUGUAUAAUGGGUCAGCGACUUAUAUUCUGUAGCAAGGUUAACCGAAUAGGGGAGCCGAAGGGAAACCGAGUCUUAACUGGGCGUUAAGUUGCAGGGUAUAGACCCGAAACCCGGUGAUCUAGCCAUGGGCAGGUUGAAGGUUGGGUAACACUAACUGGAGGACCGAACCGACUAAUGUUGAAAAAUUAGCGGAUGACUUGUGGCUGGGGGUGAAAGGCCAAUCAAACCGGGAGAUAGCUGGUUCUCCCCGAAAGCUAUUUAGGUAGCGCCUCGUGAAUUCAUCUCCGGGGGUAGAGCACUGUUUCGGCAAGGGGGUCAUCCCGACUUACCAACCCGAUGCAAACUGCGAAUACCGGAGAAUGUUAUCACGGGAGACACACGGCGGGUGCUAACGUCCGUCGUGAAGAGGGAAACAACCCAGACCGCCAGCUAAGGUCCCAAAGUCAUGGUUAAGUGGGAAACGAUGUGGGAAGGCCCAGACAGCCAGGAUGUUGGCUUAGAAGCAGCCAUCAUUUAAAGAAAGCGUAAUAGCUCACUGGUCGAGUCGGCCUGCGCGGAAGAUGUAACGGGGCUAAACCAUGCACCGAAGCUGCGGCAGCGACGCUGAUGCGUUGUUGGGUAGGGGAGCGUUCUGUAAGCCUGCGAAGGUGUGCUGUGAGGCAUGCUGGAGGUAUCAGAAGUGCGAAUGCUGACAUAAGUAACGAUAAAGCGGGUGAAAAGCCCGCUCGCCGGAAGACCAAGGGUUCCUGUCCAACGUUAAUCGGGGCAGGGUGAGUCGACCCCUAAGGCGAGGCCGAAAGGCGUAGUCGAUGGGAAACAGGUUAAUAUUCCUGUACUUGGUGUUACUGCGAAGGGGGGACGGAGAAGGCUAUGUUGGCCGGGCGACGGUUGUCCCGGUUUAAGCGUGUAGGCUGGUUUUCCAGGCAAAUCCGGAAAAUCAAGGCUGAGGCGUGAUGACGAGGCACUACGGUGCUGAAGCAACAAAUGCCCUGCUUCCAGGAAAAGCCUCUAAGCAUCAGGUAACAUCAAAUCGUACCCCAAACCGACACAGGUGGUCAGGUAGAGAAUACCAAGGCGCUUGAGAGAACUCGGGUGAAGGAACUAGGCAAAAUGGUGCCGUAACUUCGGGAGAAGGCACGCUGAUAUGUAGGUGAAGUCCCUUGCGGAUGGAGCUGAAAUCAGUCGAAGAUACCAGCUGGCUGCAACUGUUUAUUAAAAACACAGCACUGUGCAAACACGAAAGUGGACGUAUACGGUGUGACGCCUGCCCGGUGCCGGAAGGUUAAUUGAUGGGGUCAGCGCAAGCGAAGCUCUUGAUCGAAGCCCCGGUAAACGGCGGCCGUAACUAUAACGGUCCUAAGGUAGCGAAAUUCCUUGUCGGGUAAGUUCCGACCUGCACGAAUGGCGUAAUGAUGGCCAGGCUGUCUCCACCCGAGACUCAGUGAAAUUGAACUCGCUGUGAAGAUGCAGUGUACCCGCGGCAAGACGGAAAGACCCCGUGAACCUUUACUAUAGCUUGACACUGAACAUUGAGCCUUGAUGUGUAGGAUAGGUGGGAGGCUUGGAAGUGUGGACGCCAGUCUGCAUGGAGCCGACCUUGAAAUACCACCCUUUAAUGUUUGAUGUUCUAACGUUGACCCGUAAUCCGGGUUGCGGACAGUGUCUGGUGGGUAGUUUGACUGGGGCGGUCUCCUCCUAAAGAGUAACGGAGGAGCACGAAGGUUGGCUAAUCCUGGUCGGACAUCAGGAGGUUAGUGCAAUGGCAUAAGCCAGCUUGACUGCGAGCGUGACGGCGCGAGCAGGUGCGAAAGCAGGUCAUAGUGAUCCGGUGGUUCUGAAUGGAAGGGCCAUCGCUCAACGGAUAAAAGGUACUCCGGGGAUAACAGGCUGAUACCGCCCAAGAGUUCAUAUCGACGGCGGUGUUUGGCACCUCGAUGUCGGCUCAUCACAUCCUGGGGCUGAAGUAGGUCCCAAGGGUAUGGCUGUUCGCCAUUUAAAGUGGUACGCGAGCUGGGUUUAGAACGUCGUGAGACAGUUCGGUCCCUAUCUGCCGUGGGCGCUGGAGAACUGAGGGGGGCUGCUCCUAGUACGAGAGGACCGGAGUGGACGCAUCACUGGUGUUCGGGUUGUCAUGCCAAUGGCACUGCCCGGUAGCUAAAUGCGGAAGAGAUAAGUGCUGAAAGCAUCUAAGCACGAAACUUGCCCCGAGAUGAGUUCUCCCUGACCCUUUAAGGGUCCUGAAGGAACGUUGAAGACGACGACGUUGAUAGGCCGGGUGUGUAAGCGCAGCGAUGCGUUGAGCUAACCGGUACUAAUGAACCGUGAGGCUUAACCUUACAACGCCGAAGCUGUU